UUUAUUUAGAGAGUUUGAUCCUGGCUCAGGAUGAACGCUGGCGGCGUGCUUAACACAUGCAAGUCGAACGAAGCGCUUUGGACAGAUUCUUCGGAUGAAGUCCUUAGUGACUGAGUGGCGGACG
rnacentral:rRNA from 1 species